rnacentral:rRNA from 1 species
GAUGAACGCUAGCUACAGGCUUAACACAUGCAAGUCGAGGGGAAACGACAUCGAAAGCUUGCUUUUGAUGGGCGUCGACCGGCGCACGGGUGAGUAACGCGUAUCCAACCUGCCCAUCACUUGGGAUUAACCUUGCGAUAGUAAGACUAAUACCCAAUGAUAUCCCACGAAGGCAUCGGAAUGGGAUUCAAGAUUUAUCGGUGAUGGAUGGGGUUGCGUCUGAUUAGCUUGUUGGCGGGGUAACGGCCCACCAAGGCAACGAUCAGUAGGGGGACUGAGAGGAAGGUCCACCACAUUGGAACUGAGACUCGGUCCAAACUCCUACGGGAGGCAGCAGUGAGGAAUAUUGGGCAAUGAGCGAGAGCCUGAACCAGCCAAGUAGCGUGCAGGAAGACGGCCCUAUGGGUUGUAAACUGCUUUUAUAAGGGAAUAAAGUGGGUCACGUGUGACUUUUUGCAGGUACCUUAUGAAUAAGGACCGGCUAAUUCCGUG